GAUGAACGCUGGCGGCGUGCCUAAUACAUGCAAGUCGAGCGAACGGACGAGAAUCUUGCUUCUCUGAUGUUAGCGGCGGACGGGUGAGUAACACGUGGAUAACCUACCUAUAAGACUGGGAUAACUUCGGGAAACCGGAGCUAAUACCGGAUAAUAUUUUGAACCGCAUGGUUCAAAAGUGAAAGACGGUCUUGCUGUCACUUAUUGAUGGAUCCUCGCUGCAUUAGCUAGUUGGUAAGGUAACGGCUUACCAAGGCAACGAUGCAUAGCCGACCUGAGAGGGUGAUCAGCCACACUGGAACUGAGACACGGUCCAGACUCCUACGGGAGGCAGCAGUAGGGAAUAUUGCGCAAUGGGCGAAAGCCUGACGGAGCAACGCCGCGUGAGUGAUGAAGGUCUUCGGAUCGUAAAACUCUGUUAGUAGGGAAGAACAGAUGUGUAAGUAACUGUGCACAUCUUGACGGUACCUAAACAGAAAGCCACGGCUAACUACGUG
rnacentral:rRNA from 1 species